GACGAACGCUGGCGGCGUGCUUAACACAUGCAAGUCGAACGGAAAGGCCUGCUUUCCCUUGUGGAUUGCGGGUACUCGAGUGGCGAACGGGUGAGUAACACGUGAGUGAUCUGCCCCCAACUUGGGUAUAAGCCUGGGAAACUGGGUCUAAUUCCCGAUAGGACUGCAGGGUGGUGCCUGUGGUGGAAAACGAUUUUCUAGUGGUUGGGGAUGAGCUCGCGGCCUAUCAGCUUGUUGGUGGGGUAAUGGCCUACCAAGGCGGCGACGGGUAGCCGGCCUGGGAGGGUGGACGGCCACAUUGGGACUGAGAUCAGGCCCAGACUCCUACGGGAGGCAGCAGUGGGGAAGAUUGCACCAUGGGCGGAAGCCUGAUGCAGCGACGCCGCGUGGGGGAUGACGGCCUUCGGGUUGUAAACUCCUUUCGACCGCGAGGAAGCCACCUGGUUGGAAGGGUGGUGACGGUAGUGGUAGAAGAAGCACCGGCUAACUACGUG
rnacentral:rRNA from 1 species